rnacentral:rRNA from 1 species
CAGCAGCCACGGGAAUACGUAGGUGGCAAGCGUUGUCCGGAAUUAUUGGGCGUAAAGCGCGCGCAGGCGGAUCAGUUAGUCUGUCUUAAAAGUUCGGGGCUUAACCCCGUGAUGGGAUGGAAACUGCUGAUCUAGAGUAUCGGAGAGGAAAGUGGAAUUCCUAGUGUAGCGGUGAAAUGCGUAGAUAUUAGGAAGAACACCAGUGGCGAAGGCGACUUUCUGGACGAAAACUGACGCUGAGGCGCGAAAGCCAGGGGGGCGAACGGGAUUAGAUACCCCGGUAGUCCCUGUCUCUUAUACA